rnacentral:rRNA from 1 species
CCUACGGGAGGCAGCAGUGAGGAAUAUUGGACAAUGGGGGCAACCAUGAUCCAGCAACGCCAUGUGUGUGAAGAAGGGCUUAGGGUUGUAAAGCACUUUAGUGAAGCUUGCGUUACCCAAAGAAUAAGCACCGGCUAACUCCGUGCCAGCAGCCGCGGUAAUACGGGGGGUGCAAGCGUUAAUCGGAAUUACUGGGCGUAAAGGGUCUCUAGGUGGUUUGUUAAGUCACAUGUGAAAGCCUAGGGCUCAACCUUGGAACUGCAUUUGAUACUGGUAAACUAGAGUACGGUAGAGGAAUGGGGAAUUACUGGUGUAGCGGUGAAAUGCGUAGAGAUCAGAAGGAACACCAAUGGCGAAGGCAACAUUCUAGACCGAACUGACACUGAGGGACGAAAGCGUGGGGAUCAAACAGGAUUAGAUACCCUUGUAGUC